GGGAUUGCCCCAGUAACGGCGAGUGAAGCGGCAACAGCUCAAAUUUGAAAUCUGGCCCCCCCCGGGGGGCCCGAGUUGUAAUUUGCAGAGGAUGCUUUGGGCGAGGCGCCUUCCGAGUUCCCUGGAACGGGACGCCACAGAGGGUGAGAGCCCCGUCUGGUCGGACGCCGAGCCUCUGUAAAGCUCCUUCGACGAGUCGAGUAGUUUGGGAAUGCUGCUCAAAAUGGGAGGUAUAUGUCUUCUAAAGCUAAAUACCGGCCAGAGACCGAUAGCGCACAAGUAGAGUGAUCGAAAGAUGAAAAGCACCUUGAAAAGGGGGUUAAACAGUACGUGAAAUUGUUGAAAGGGAAGCGCUCGUGACCAGACUUGGGGCGGGCGGAUCAGCCGGCGUUCUCGCCGGCGCACUCCGCCCGUCCCAGGCCAGCAUCAGUUCGCGCCGGGGGACAAAGGCGGCGGGAACGUGGCUCCCCAGGGAGUGUUAUAGCCCGCCGCGCCAUGCCCCGGGGGCGGACUGAGGGCCGCGCAUCACUGCAAGGAUGCUGGCGUAAUGGUCACCAGCGACCCGUCUUGAAACACGGGCCAAGGAGUCGUCCUCGUAUGCGAGUGUUCGGGUGUCAAACCCCUACGCGGAAUGAAAGUGAACGUGGGUGAGAGCUUCGGCGCAUCAUCGACCGAUCCUGAUGUUCUCGGAUGGAUUUGAGUAGGAGCAUACGGGGCCGGACCCGAAAGAAGGUGAACUAUGCCUGUGUAGGGUGAAGCCAGAGGAAACUCUGGUGGAGGCUCGCAGCGGUUCUGACGUGCAAAUCGAUCGUCAAACAUGGGCAUGGGGGCGAAAGACUAAUCGAA
rnacentral:rRNA from 1 species